rnacentral:lncRNA from 1 species
UGGAUAUCUACCAAGAUCAAUCUCGAACUGAUCUUUUCAUAGUAGAUCCUUUUUCUUCAAGCAGGAUCUCAGUCUUUAGAACUUAGAUCAACUCCUUGAUCUAGACUACGGGAUUAACUUCUUGAUCUGCAGCCUUCUCUCUACAUUCCUCGCUGAAGAUGGAUGGCUCUUCGACUCUUGACGUAUGGAAGGUAGGAUGCUCAACCCUUGGGCGUGGGAAGGAGAAGAUGGAGGGGAGCCAUGGAGAAGGGAGAAAGAGAAUUUUUUUCUCACAAAAUUCAACUAACUAGAAACCCUAAGAGACCUUCUCUUUAUAUAGGCUCUAUCUUAACUCAAAAAAAGAAUUCAAUUAACUUAAAAAAGUGUA